UACGUAGGGUGCGAGCGUUGCCCGGAUUUAUUGGGCGUAAAGGGCGCGUAGGCGGUCACGCACGUCCGUUGUGAAAUCGCUCGGCUCAACUGGGCGGGGUCAGCGGAUACGGCGUGGCUGGAGCAAGCUAGGGGGCAAUGGAAUUCCCGGUGUAGUGGUGGAAUGCGUAGAUAUCAGGAGGAACACCAGUGGCGAAGGCGGUGGUCUGGGCCGGUACUGACGCUGUAGAGCGAAAGCGUGGGGAGCGAACAGG
rnacentral:rRNA from 1 species